AGUGAACGCUGGCGGUAGGCCUAACACAUGCAAGUCGAACGGCAGCACAGUAAGAGCUUGCUCUUACGGGUGGCGAGUGGCGGACGGGUGAGGAAUACAUCGGAAUCUACUUUUUCGUGGGGGAUAACGUAGGGAAACUUACGCUAAUACCGCAUACGACCUACGGGUGAAAGCGGGGGAUCUUCGGACCUUGCGCGAUUGAAUGAGCCGAUGUCGGAUUAGCUAGUUGGCGGGGUAAAGGCCCACCAAGGCGACGAUCCGUAGCUGGUCUGAGAGGAUGAUCAGCCACACUGGAACUGAGACACGGUCCAGACUCCUACGGGAGGCAGCAGUGGGGAAUAUUGGACAAUGGGCGCAAGCCUGAUCCAGCCAUACCGCGUGGGUGAAGAAGGCCUUCGGGUUGUAAAGCCCUUUUGUUGGGGAAGAAAGGCAGCAGGUUAAUACCCCGCUGUUCUGACGGUACCCAAAGAAUAAGCACCGGCUAACUUCGUG
rnacentral:rRNA from 1 species